rnacentral:lncRNA from 1 species
AUUCAAGGUCUUCAUUUGAACCAUUACGGCGAUGACACAUACCUUGCCUAGAUUUAGAUCCAGCCCACUCUUUUCAAGAGAAUUUGGGAAGUCCAAGCUACAGAUCCUAAAAAUUUAAAGCAUAUAGAUAAGUUUUCCUUUGAGGAAGUCUGCAACUUCAAAAUAAUCAAUGAUGAAUUGUACCAAUUUCGAGAUCGAGUAUGGAUACCUAGCGACCCCAAGCUCAGAUUGCAUGUUCU